UACAGAGGGGGCAAGCGUUGUUCGGAAUUACUGGGCGUAAAGAGCGCGCAGGCGGUCGUUCAAGUCGCGUGUGAAAGCCCCCGGCUCAACUGGGGAGGGUCACGCGAUACUGAUCGACUCGAAGGCAGGAGAGGGAAGCGGAAUUUCCGGUGUAGCGGUGAAAUGCGUAGAUAUCGGGAGGAACACCGGUGGCGAAGGCGGGUCUCUGGGCCGUAACUGACGCUGAGGAGCGAAAGCGUGGGGAGCAAACAGG
rnacentral:rRNA from 1 species